rnacentral:tRNA from 1 species
GGGCGGAUAGCUCAGUUGGUUAGAGCGCCUCUCUUACACAGAGGAGGUCGCAGGUUCGAGUCCUGUUCCGCCCAUCA